AUUGAACGCUGGCGGCAGGCUUAGCACAUGCAAGUCGAGCGGGGUGAUGGUGCUUGCACUAUCACUUAGCGGCGGACGGGUGAGUAAUGCUUAGGAAUCUGCCUAUUAGUGGGGGACAACAUCUCGGAAGGGAUGCUAAUACCGCAUACGUCCUACGGGAGAAAGCAGGGGAUCACUUGUGACCUUGUGCUAAUAGAUGAGCCUAAGUCGGAUUAGCUAGUUGGUGGGGUAAAGGCCUACCAAGGCGACGAUCUGUAGCGGGUCUGAGAGGAUGAUCCGCCACACUGGGACUGAGACACGGCCCAGACUCCUACGGGAGGCAGCAGUGGGGAAUAUUGGACAAUGGGGGGAACCCUGAUCCAGCCAUGCCGCGUGUGUGAAGAAGGCCUUAUGGUUGUAAAGCACUUUAAGCGAGGAGGAGGCUUACCUAGUUAAUACCUGGGAUAAGUGGACGUUACUCGCAGAAUAAGCACCGGCUAACUCUGUGCCAGCAGCCGCCGCAG
rnacentral:rRNA from 1 species